CGGAAUGAGAUGGUGCUGUUAGCAUGAAAUGCUGUAUGUAAGUGACUGUGUUUAAUUAAACAAGAUCACAGGCGCUCCGAAAGAGAGCUACGCAUCAAAAACAUCUGACAUGAGAUUCUCUUUGUAAGAUCAGAAAAUGGUUGAAGAGGGAGGACCUUUUAUCUCGGCAAAAUGCAAUCGCAGUAAGGGAAAGAGGAUCAAUUGGAAACGCUCCAAGCGUUGGGUUGCUCGGUGGCAUGGCCAACACACCAUGAAGAGCUUUGCUACUUGCGUUCACUGUCGCCAAAGGACUGGUACAUGAGAAAGGCUGACGUCAAGGAGAGGCCAAUAAGUGGAACUAUACACCAAUAUCUCUGUGACAGCCCUCUGGAAUGAGGAAACAAGAGCAAGAUUGAUGCCAGCUCUUCCUCAUGUUCUCAUGUGCUUUGGGAUUGACUCAUGAUCUCCAAACAAAUUAAAUCAUUUCCAUUCA